rnacentral:rRNA from 1 species
UACGUAGGGUCCGAGCGUUGUCCGGAAUUACUGGGCGUAAAGCGUGUGUAGGCGGCUACGCAAGUCGGAUGUGAAAGCCCCGGGCUCAACCCGGGAAGUGCACCCGAAACUGCGUGGCUCGAGUACCGGAGAGGUUGGUGGAAUUCUCGGUGUAGAGGUGAAAUUCGUAGAUAUCGAGAGGAACACCGGUGGCGAAGGCGGCCAACUGGACGAGUACUGACGCUGAGACACGAAAGCGUGGGGAGCAAACAGG